GUUAAGCGACUAAGCGUACACGGUGGAUGCCCUGGCAGUCAGAGGCGAUGAAGGACGUGCUAAUCUGCGAAAAGCGUCGGUAAGGUGAUAUGAACCGUUACAGCCGGCGAUGUCCGAAUGGGGAAACCCAGUGCAAUUCGUUGCACUAUCGUUAACUGAAUACAUAGGUUAACGAGGCGAACCGGGGGAACUGAAACAUCUAAGUACCCCGAGGAAAAGAAAUCAACCGAGAUUCCCCCAGUAGCGGCGAGCGAACGGGGAGCAGCCCAGAGUCUGAAUCAGCUUGUGUGUUAGUGGAACGGUCUGGAAAGUCCGACGGUACAGGGUGAUAGUCCCGUACACCAAAAUGCACAGGUUGUGAACUCGAAGAGUAGGGCGGGACACGUGGUAUCCUGUCUGAAUAUGGGGGGACCAUCCUCCAAGGCUAAAUACUCCUAUUUGACCGAUAGUGAACCAGUACCGUGAGGGAAAGGCGAAAAGAACCCCUGUGAGGGGAGUGAAAUAGAACCUGAAACCGUAUACGUACAAGCAGUGGGAGCCUUUAGGGGUGACUGCGUACCUUUUGUAUAAUGGGUCAGCGACUUAUAUUUAGUAGCAAGGUUAACCAUGUAGGGGAGCCGUAGCGAAAGCGAGUGUUAACUGCGCGUCUAGUUGCUAGGUAUAGACCCGAAACCCGGUGAUCUAGCCAUGGGCAGGUUGAAGGUUGAGUAACAUCAACUGGAGGACCGAACCCACUAACUUUGAAAAGUUAGGGGAUGACUUGUGGCUGGGGGUGAAAGGCCAAUCAAACCGGGAGAUAGCUGGUUCUCCCCGAAAUCUAUUUAGGUAGAGCCUCGGACGAAUUCCAUUGGGGGUAGAGCACUGUUAAGGCUAGGGGGUCAUCCCGACUUACCAACCCGAUGCAAACUACGAAUACCGAAGAAUGUUAUCACGGGAGACACACGGCGGGUGCUAACGUCCGUCGUGAAGAGGGAAACAACCCAGACCGCCAGCUAAGGUCCCAAAGUCACAGUUAAGUGGGAAACGAUGUGGGAAGGCCCAGACAGCUAGGAGGUUGGCUUAGAAGCAGCCACCCUUUAAAGAAAGCGUAAUAGCUCACUAGUCGAGUCGGCCUGCGCGGAAGAUGUAACGGGGCUAAACUGUGCACCGAAGCUGCGGCAGCGACACUAUGUGUUGUUGGGUAGGGGAGCGUUCUGUAAGCCGCUGAAGCUGGACUGUGAAGUCUGGUGGAGGUAUCAGAAGUGCGAAUGCUGACAUAAGUAACGAUAAUGCGGGUGAAAAGCCCGCACGCCGGAAGACCAAGGGUUCCUGUCCAACGUUAAUCGGGGCAGGGUGAGUCGACCCCUAAGGCGAGGCCGAAAGGCGUAGUCGAUGGGAAACAGGUUAAUAUUCCUGUACCCGUGAGAAGUGACGGCCUCUGGAAGUAGUUUUUCCUUAUUGGAUUGGAGAAGCUGCCAAGGAGGUCCAGGAAAUAACUCUCACAUAUGGACCGUACCCCAAACCGACACAGGUGGUCAGGUAGAGAAUACCAAGGCGCUUGAGAGAACUCGGGUGAAGGAACUAGGCAAAAUGGUGCCGUAACUUCGGGAGAAGGCACGCUGAUAUGUAGGUGAAGCCCCUGCGGGUGGAGCUGAAAUCAGUCGAAGAUACCAGCUGGCUGCAACUGUUUAUUAAAAACACAGCACUGUGCAAACACGAAAGUGGACGUAUACGGUGUGACGCCUGCCCGGUGCCGGAAGGUUAAGAGGAGAUGUGCAAGCAUUGAAUUGAAGCCCCGGUAAACGGCGGCCGUAACAAUAACGGUCCUAAGGUAGCGAAAUUCCUUGUCGGGUAAGUUCCGACCUGCACGAAUGGCGUAACGACUUCCCCACUGUCUCCAACACCAACUCAGCGAAAUUGAAUUCUCCGUGAAGAUGCGGAGUACCCGCGGUCAGACGGAAAGACCCCGUGCACCUUUACUACAGCUUCAGAGUGGUAUUAGGGAUAACAUGUGUAGCAUAGGUGGGAGGCUUUGAAGCCGGGACGCCAGUCCUGGUGGAGCCACCCUUGAAAUACCACCCUUGUUGUCUCUGAUAUCUAACCACGUCCCGUGAAACCGGGACUGGGACCCUCUGUGGCGGGUAGUUUGACUGGGGCGGUCGCCUCCCAAAGAGUAACGGAGGCGCGCGAUGGUAGGCUCAGGUCGGUUGGAAAUCGAUCGUUGAGUGCAAUGGCAUAAGCCUGCCUGACUGUGAGACUGACAAGUCGAACAGAGACGAAAGUCGGUCAUAGUGAUCCGGUGGUUCUGUGUGGAAGGGCCAUCGCUCAACGGAUAAAAGGUACGCCGGGGAUAACAGGCUGAUACUGCCCAAGAGCUCAUAUCGACGGCAGUGUUUGGCACCUCGAUGUCGGCUCAUCACAUCCUGGGGCUGAAGUAGGUCCCAAGGGUAUGGCUGUUCG
rnacentral:rRNA from 1 species